rnacentral:rRNA from 1 species
AGAGUUUGAUGGUGGCUCAGAACGAACGCUGGCGGCAGGCCUAACACAUGCAAGUCGAACGCUGUAGCAAUACAGAGUGGCAGACGGGUGAGUAACGCGUGGGAACGUGCCUUUCGGUUCGGAAUAACUCAGGGAAACUUGAGCUAAUACCGGAUACGCCCUUCGGGGGAAAGAUUUAUUGCCGAAAGAUCGGCCCGCGUCCGAUUAGCUAGUUGGUGUGGUAAUGGCGCACCAAGGCGACGAUCGGUAGCUGGUCUGAGAGGAUGAUCAGCCACACUGGGACUGAGACACGGCCCAGACUCCUACGGGAGGCAGCAGUGGGGAAUAUUGGACAAUGGGCGCAAGCCUGAUCCAGCCAUGCCGCGUGAGUGAUGAAGGCCCUAGGGUUGUAAAGCUCUUUCGCCAGGGACGAU